UACGUAGGGGGCAAGCGUUGUCCGGAAUUAUUGGGCGUAAAGAGCGCGUAGGCGGUCCGAUAAGUCGGCUGUGAAAGUCCAGGGCUCAACCCUGGAAAGCCGGCCGAUACUGUCGGACUAGAGUCCGGAAGAGGCAAGUGGAAUUCCCGGUGUAGCGGUGAAAUGCGCAGAUAUCGGGAGGAACACCAAUUGCGAAGGCAGCUUGCUGGGACGGUACUGACGCUGAGGCGCGAAGGCGUGGGGAGCAAACAGG
rnacentral:rRNA from 1 species